rnacentral:rRNA from 1 species
GACGAACGCUGGCGGCGUGCUUAACACAUGCAAGUCGAACGGAAAGGCCCUGCUUUUGUGGGGUGCUCGAGUGGCGAACGGGUGAGUAACACGUGAGUAACCUGCCCUUGACUUUGGGAUAACUUCAGGAAACUGGGGCUAAUACCGGAUAGGAGCUCCUGCUGCAUGGUGGGGGUUGGAAAGUUUCGGCGGUUGGGGAUGGACUCGCGGCUUAUCAGCUUGUUGGUGGGGUAGUGGCUUACCAAGGCUUUGACGGGUAGCCGGCCUGAGAGGGUGACCGGCCACAUUGGGACUGAGAUACGGCCCAGACGCCUACGGGAGGCAGCAGUGGGGAAUAGUGCACAAUGGGCGGAAGCCUGAUGCAGCAACGCCGCGUGCGGGAUGACGGCCUUCGGGUUGUAAACCGCUUUCGCCUGUGACGAAGCGUGAGUGACGGUAAUGGGUAAAGAAGCACCGGCUAACUACGUG